UCCUUAAACUUGUAAGCUGGUGAACUGAUAAAUCCAGUGCACUGACUCCUUGAAAUUUUAUAAAGCCAGCUAAUCAGAUCGCAGCUUGCUAUUGCAGCCAGCUUUUGACAUUUUUGUGUGUAAUAUGCAUCAGAUGGUUUGUAGGCAGUCUGUGAGCGUGUCUCUCAAGCUCAGACUAGAAUGGAGAUGGAGAUCUGUGAGAUAACCCUUCCAACAGAACUUUAAUGGAUUCAGCUGACAUAGACUAUCAAAAGCUGCUGAUGACAUUUAAGUUGUAGUGGAUUUUAGGGAUAAACGUUUUCUUCUCUUGCUUCUCACAGGUGGAGGGGCAGAGGAUCAGACAGACAGGAGGAACCAAGACUCAUUUCUACACAGAUGGACAUGUAAAAAGAGCACAAAUGGAGAAUUUUGAAGCAUCUUCAGACAGCUUUUUUCUAUACAACGGUGAUCAAAAGUGUUUUUUACGCAGUUUUUUAGACCUGGAUGAUGUAAAUGUAUGCAACACCCCUGAAAAUGCUUUUAUUAUCAUUACUGAUUGGUAAAGCGGCCAGCUUUGGCAUCAUGUGACAAGUUCAGCUCAGACGGAACUGCCAGUGUAAAUGCGUCUCCGCAGUGUUCCCGUUGAACGUGUGUGUGCUGAACAAAAGCCUAGGUUGUUUACGUCAGGGUAAUUGGUCAUGGACGGGUCAUUACCUGGAGCAAUAAAACUGAAGAAAACAAAAGUGUACAAGAGUCUGCAAGAUUCUGUCAAUCUGACUGACUGAUCAGGUAUUUCCAUGCGGUUGGGUGAUGAAGAGCAGGUGGCCUCAUUUGCAGAAAGCACUUCCUCAGAAGCAACACCUUCACUGCCUCCUCUUCCUCCACGUGGCUGUCGGGCAGGCGAGGGCGAUUGCGUUCCCCUCCCGCGCAGUGCUGCCUGUCCGCCUGUGGGACCUGCUCCGUGGGCUUUUCAUCAGCUGCCAUUUUCACCAGCAUGCAGUAAUUUCAUGGCUCAUUGCAAGCGCUGAAAACCUUUGAAACUGCAAAUGUUAACUUUUGCCUGGCCCGGAGCCAUUUAUAAAGCGAUUAAUUCGGCAAACAGACGUGAGCCACUUUCUCCUCCCAAGUUUUCGCAUAAUUUUCCAACCCUUUCUAUCUGGGAUUUGCAUUGCAGGGAACUCAGAGGACAAGGAGAAUAACCAUUCCUGUUAAUUGUGGUUUGGUGAAGAAACAAGGCCUGUCGCUCUGCAGUCUGAUCUGCCCGGCUGUCCCAAUCCAGUCCAGAACAGGAAGAAUGUACAGACAAUCAGAUCAAGAUCAAGAGAGAAUUGUGUACAAGACUCUUUGAAGUUCUGGAUGGCAUGAAGGUUGAUGUGGCCAAGGUCCAAAAUCAUCAUGCCUGAGACCACACAGAUGGGGAUGAGAUAAAACUUCUCUCCAAGAAAACAAAACACAAACCGAAGACGAGCUUCAAAAUGGAGGGAUGGAAAUCAGCAGUGAAAAGAGGAGAGGAUGAGUGCAGAGAAAACAAAGAGAUGGAGGAAUAACACAGAGAAGAAGGGAAGAAAAAAAGCCGGAGAGAAGAAGGUGUGCAGCAGAAGUGUAGAAGUGUGUUGCUGGGCAGAGGGCUGGCGCUGGCAGGGUGGAGAAGCGGGCACGCUCACAGACAUCUGUUGGCACGCUGCGGAUGCUGGAGGGGGCACGGUGCCAUGACCAGCGGGAACAUGGCACACUGAUAAUGCUGUAGCUAUACUCAGAUACACACUACGUUUCUAUAGAACGCCACACACACAAGCACUAAUGAUAAAAUAAUCUCACACUAUCGACAUGAGCAAUGCAGGACACACAUUGAGGCUCCAAAAUAUCAUAAUUGGCAGCUUUCAGUCUAGGCAAAAUACUUACAAUGAGAAACCAAGAGAAAUUAUCCUGCAGAGUAAAAAGAGGAUUUACCUACACUCCUAAAAAUAAAGGUUCUUUAUAGGCAUUGAUGGUUACAUGAAGAACUUUUAACAUAUUUUUUCAUUGCACAGAUAGA